GACCCGUUAGCUCAGUCGGCAGAGCAACUGCCUUUUAAGCAGUGGGCCCGGGGUUCGAAUCCCCGACGGGUCACCA
rnacentral:tRNA from 1 species